UUUCCCUGAUAGCAGACUACUCCGAUCCGGAUCCGUUUUACCUCCGGCAGAUCCGCGCUACAGUCAGGUCUGUUUAGUGGAUCUGGUCCGGCUUCACUCCGGGUUCGGGUUAUGAUUGUGACUCACGUUCAGAUCCGUUUUACUGACGGUAAAUCCGCAUAACAGUCCGUCUCAUUUCACGCCUUCCAUAUGACUUCGGCACGGAGUCAGAUACCAGAUGUGAGUUCAGUGUCAGCUCAGUGUCGUUUUGCGGAUCCGGGCCGCAUCGGCGGAGCGGCACAGGAGCGGGAGAAAUUCAAACUCAGCGCGAGGACCAACUGACAUCUGCUGAAUCUGCGCUUCAGGGCUGCUGAGGGCUGGGGACCUGAGAUAAGGUGUAAUCAUUUACCCAUCAAAUCACCUAACAAGCAGGAUUUGGUAUCCGCAAAAUGGUUCGAGGUCCUCAGCCCUCGCCUCCCCAGCACAGAGGAAAACUACCAAGGGCGGUACUCUCAUUAUAGGAGAUUCAAUUGUUAGACAUUUAAAAGUAUCUAAGAGUAAUGGCACAAUUUCAUGUCUUCCAGAUGCUUGCAUGCUGGUAGUCGGCAAGCGGCUCCCUGGGGCGCAUUGCCAAAGCAGGAACCCCGGCACCAUCGCCCUCCAUGUGGGGAUGAGCUUUCGGGAGCGACCGGCCCCAUUCCACAGAGACAGGCUUCUCUCUGUGAACAUCGAGGCGGUGCUACGCUGAGACUGACUGUCUCUACCCAGUCACACCAGCCAAGCUGCACUGUAGUGGUGUUAAGUGUCCAAGAAUGCUCUCAUCAGUGGAGGCACAGCUGGCUGCAAAAAACGUCUGUGUCUGCAUGUUUAUAUUAUGUGAAUUAAAAAUGGUUUUAUUAUUAAAAUAAUUGUA